AGGGCACCACCAGGAGUGGAGCCUGCGGCUUAAUUUGACUCAACACGGGAAAACUCACCCGGCCCGGACACUGGAAGGAUUGACAGAUUGAGAGCUCUUUCUUGAUUCAGUGGGUGGUGGUGCAUGGCCGUUCUUAGUUGGUGGAGUGAUUUGUCUGGUUAAUUCCGAUAACGAACGAGACCUUAUCCUACUAAAUAUGUGGUCAAGUUUACAAACACUUGAUCUCACUUCUUAGAGGGACAGGCGGUGAUUCAACCGCACGAAACAAGGCAAUAACAGGUCUGUGAUGCCCUUAGAUGUCCGGGGCCGCACGCGCGCUACACUGAAGUGAUCAGCGUGCUUUGCUAUGCCUACUCUGGCAAGAGUGGGAAACCCCGUGAACCUUCUUCGUGAUUGGGAUAGGAGAUUGUAAUUAUUCUCCUUGAACGAGGAAUUCCCAGUAAGCGCGAGUCAUAAGCUCGCGUUGAUUACGUCCCUGCCCUUUGUACACACCGCCCGUCGCUACUACCGAUUGAAUGU
rnacentral:rRNA from 1 species